rnacentral:rRNA from 1 species
AUACGGAGGGUGCAAGCGUUACUCGGAAUCACUGGGCGUAAAGGACGCGUAGGCGGAUUGGAAAGUCAGAUGUGAAAUCCUACAGCUUAACUGUAGAACUGCAUUUGAAACUUCUAAUCUAGAGUAUGGGAGGGGGAGAUGGAAUUAGUGGUGUAGGGGUAAAAUCCGUAGAUAUCACUAGGAAUACCGAAAGCGAAGGCGAUCUCCUGGAACAUAACUGACGCUAAGGCGUGAAAGCGUGGGGAGCAAACGGGAUUAGAUACCCUUGUAGUCC